AGCAGCCGCGGUAAUUCCAGCUCCAAUAGCGUAUAUUAAAGUUGUUGCAGUUAAAAAGCUCGUAGUUGAAUUUCGGGAUCAAUGUUUCGGUCAUGCCGUUGGUAUGUACUGAUAUUAUUGAUUUCUCACCUUCUAAAGAACCGUAAUGCCAUUAAUUUGGUGUCACGGAGAAUUAGGACUGUUACCUUGAAAAAAUUAGAGUGUUUAAAGCAGGCUCACGCUUGAAUACAUUAGCAUGGAAUAAUGAAAUAGGACAUCCGAUUCUAUUUUGUUGGUUUCUAGGAUCGAUGUAAUGAUUAAUAGGGAUAGGUUGGGGGCAUUAGUAUUCAAUUGGUCAGAGGUGAAAUUCUUGGAUUUAUUGAAGACUAACUACUGCGAAAGCAUUUGCCAAGGAUGUUUUCAUUAAUCAAGAACGAAAGUUAGGGGAUCGAAGACGAUCAGAUACCGUCGUAGUCUUAACCAUAAACUAUGCCGACUAGGGAUCGGAUGAUGUUAAUUUUUAANGUACU
rnacentral:rRNA from 1 species